rnacentral:rRNA from 1 species
AGAACGAACGCUGGCGGCGUGGAUAAGACAUGCAAGUCGAACGCGAUUUAUCAGGUUAGCAAUAACUUGGUAGAUUGAGUGGCGAAAGGGUGCGUAACACGUGGGAAUUUACCAAGAAGUGGGGAAUAGCUCGACGAAAGUCGAAUUAAUACCGCAUGUGAUCGAAAGAUCAAAGUCGGGGACCGUAAGGCCUGACGCUUUUUGAGAAGCCCGCGGCCCAUCAGCUAGUUGGUGAGGUAAUGGCUCACCAAGGCUAUGACGGGUAGCUGGUCUGAGAGGACGACCAGCCACACUGGAACUGAGACACGGUCCAGACACCUACGGGUGGCAGCAGUCGAGAAUUUUUCACAAUGGACGAAAGUCUGAUGGAGCGACGCCGCGUGGAGGAUGAAGGUUCUUGGAUUGUAAACUCCUGUCACUGCAGAACAAGGGUGCGCACGUUAAUAGCGAGCGCAUUUG